rnacentral:rRNA from 1 species
UACCGCAUACGAUCUACGGAUGAAAGUGGGGGAUCGCAAGACCUCAUGCUCGUGGAGCGGCCGAUAUCUGAUUAGCUAGUUGGUAGGGUAAAAGCCUACCAAGGCAUCGAUCAGUAGCUGGUCUGAGAGGACGACCAGCCACACUGGAACUGAGACACGGUCCAGACUCCUACGGGAGGCAGCAGUGGGGAAUUUUGGACAAUGGGCGAAAGCCUGAUCCAAAAAGGCCGCGUGAGUGAAGAAGGCCUUCGGGUG